rnacentral:lncRNA from 1 species
CAGCCAAAGUUGUCUUUCAAUGGCAGCAAAAACCUCCAAAAAUUUUUAGCAACAUAACCUCAAAAUUCAGCAGCAAAAACCUUGAAUUUUCAGCACCAAAAUCCCUUUAAAAAGCACUGAAUUUUCUCUCUCAAAGUGCAGCAAAAAUUAGCUCUUACCUCACAAAUUUUUAGCUUUCUUCUUCCUCCAAAAAUUACAGCAAAAGCUCUCUUUUUCCUUCCUCAAAGUGCAGCAAAACCAUUCUCUUUUCUCUUCCUCUCCCACGGUUCUUUCUCUCCCUUUUUCUCUUCAUUUCUUUCUUCCUCUCCCACAGUUUUUCUUUCCUUUAUUUUUC